CACGCCAUAAACGAUGGAUACUUGUCGUUGGAGGUAUUGACCCCUUCAGUGACGAAGCUAACGCGUUAAGUAUCCCGCCUGGGGAGUACGGUCGCAAGAUUAAAACUCAAAGAAAUUGACGGGGGCCCGCACAAGCGGUGGAUCAUGUGGUUUAAUUCGAUGCAACGCGAAGAACCUUACCUGGGCUUGACAUGUAAUGGAAGAGUGGCAGAAAUGUCCUCGCCCGCAAGGGCCGUUAUACAGGUGC
rnacentral:rRNA from 1 species